AACGAACGCUGGCGGCAGGCUUAACACAUGCAAGUCGAGCGCCCCGCAAGGGGAGCGGCAGACGGGUGAGUAACGCGUGGGAAUCUACCCAUCUCUACGGAAUAACGCAUGGAAACGUGUGCUAAUACCGUAUACGUCCUUCGGGAGAAAGAUUUAUCGGAGAUGGAUGAGCCCGCGUUGGAUUAGCUAGUGGGUGGGGUAAAGGCCUACCAAGGCGACGAUCCAUAGCUGGUCUGAGAGGAUGAUCAGCCACACUGGGACUGAGACACGGCCCAGACUCCUACGGGAGGCAGCAGUGGGGAAUAUUGGACAAUGGGCGCAAGCCUGACCCAGCCAUGCCGCGUGAGUGAUGAAGGCCCUAGGGUUGUAAAGCUCUUUCACCGGUGAAGAUAAUGACGGUAACCGGAGAGGAAGCCCCGGCUAACUUCGUGCCAGCCGCCGCCGUAAUAC
rnacentral:rRNA from 1 species